rnacentral:rRNA from 1 species
GCCACGGUCCUUAGAAGGUGCCAGGCCUGUGGGAUGGUUGCGGUGUCCGGGACGACCUCUCCUUGGAGUCGGGUUGCUUGAGAGUGCAGCCCUAAGCAGGUGGUAAACUCCAUCUAAGGCUAAAUACAACCACGAGACCGAUAGCAAACAAGUACCGUGAGGGAAAGUUGAAAAGAACUUUGAAGAGAGAGUUCAAGAGUACGUGAAACCGUUCAGGGGUAAACGGGUGGAGCCCUAAAGGUCGAAAGGGGAGAUUCAGUGUUCCGUCCACUGGCCGCCCGCCGCCGUUGGGUAAACUCUCGCUCCCGGCUUGCCGGUUCUUGCGAGAGGCCCUCGGUGGGGGCUUGCGCGCCGGUGGGGUUGCGCACUUCUCCCCCAGUAGCACGCCGCGACCCGUUGGGUGUCCGCCGAAAGCCCGGGGGCGAGCCCGCGAUCCUCUUCGGAGGUUUGCGGAGUCCCGGUGUCUAGGUCGGACUGCCCGACGGUCUAGAAAAACGGAAAAGGCCCGCGAGCCAGACUUCGGUCUAGCCCGCGCUCGUGCCUCGUGCGAGCGUCCUGUCGCGUGUCGUUGUGCGGACUUGUCCGCCGCGGCCCGACCGGCGUUGUCGGCGCGGGGAUUUCUCGAGCAGUGGCCUGCUCCCGUCCGCGGCGGUAACACAGGGCGGCCCACCCGGCCCGUCUUGAAACACGGACCAAGGAGUCUAACAUGUGCGCGAGUCAUUGGGUCCCACUACACCCAAAGGCGUAUUGAACGAAAAGGCCGUCCUUCGCGUCGGUUGAGGGAAGAUGGGGGUCCGCUCGCGGGCUCCCCGCAUUCCCGGGGCGUCUCGUGCUACCGCCGCUCGUCGGCGGAAGUUGAGGCGCACCCAGAGCGCACACGUUGGUACCCGAAAGAUGGUGAACUAUGCCUGGCCAGGACGAAGCCAGGGGAAACCCUGGUGGAGGUCCGUAGCGAUUCUGACGUGCAAAUCGAUCGUCAGAGCUGGGUAUAGGGGCGAAAGACUAAUCGAACCAUCUAGUAGCUGGUUCCCUCCGAAGUUUCCCUCAGGAUAGCUGGCGUUCGGAGAUUCGAGUCCCAUGCGGUAAAGCGAAUGAUUAGAGGCCAUGGGGUCGAAACGACCUCAACCUAUUCUCAAACUCUAAAUGCGUGGGAUCCGCUGCUUGUUUGAACGUGAAGCAGCGGCCUGUCGGAUCGGAAUGCCCAGUGGGGCCACUUUUGGUAAGCAGAACUGGGCGCUGGGGGAUGAACCAAACGCCGGGUUAAGGCGCCCGAAUCACGCCUCAUGUGAAAACCAUGAAAGGUGUUGGUUGCUUAAGACAGCAGGACGGUGGGCAUGGAAGUCGGAAUUCGCUAAGGAGUGUGUAACACUCACCUGCCGAAGCAACUAGCCCUGAAAAUGGAUGGCGCUGAAGCGUCUUGCCUAUACCCGGCCGCCGGCGGCAGAAGGCGAGCGCCCUCGGGCGGUCGCUGCGAAGCCCCGGUGAGUAGGAGGGUCGCGACGGUGAGCGCAGAAGGGUCUGGGCGUGAGCCUGCCUGGAGCCGCCGUCGGUGCAGAUCUUGGUGGUAGUAGCAAAUACUCCAGCGAGGCCCUGGAGGACCGAUGUGGAGAAGGGUUCCGUGUGAACAGCCGUUGCACACGGGUCAGUCGAUCCUAAGCCCUAGGAGAAAUCCGAUGUUGAUGGUCGCGGGAUGUACCUUUGCUCCGGCUUACGCUCGAAAGGAACGAAAGGACUAACCUAGUACGCGAAUCUCGGCACCGAGGUGUGCGAGAAAGUCUUACGGGUCGUGGUUGUUCGCUCUCAGCGCUCUCUCGUCCCCGGACAAAAAGGUUUUUUAGUAACUCGCUCGGCUCUCUGUGGUGUCGACUCGUGAUAUUUUCCUCUUGCAACUCGCUAAAGAGGAAACCAUGUCGCGAUCGCACUCAGUCUCACCAGCGACGAAAGAAUUCCAGUCCGGUGUGGCGGUGUAGUUUGCGCGAGGCAAGCGGGCACCGACCCUGACUCUCUCGAUACUUCGCGCUCGCCUUUUCGCCGAAAAGCCAAAGUUCUGGAGUAGGCGUAAUCUAAUGCCGGCAGGCGCAUAUUAACCCCGUCCGUCGGGCGAAAGGGAAUCCGGUUCCUAUUCCGGAACCCGGUUGCGGAACCGCACUCACGAUCCUCGUAUUGACACGGUAACGUGAAUGAGCCCAGAGAUGCCGCCUGGAGCCCCGGGAAGAGUUUUCUUUUCUGCCUGAGCGUUCGGGUUCCAUGGAAUCCUCUCGUAGGGAGAUAUGGAAUGGAACGCGAAGAGCACCGCAGUUGCUGCGGUGUCCGGGGAGUCCCGCCGGCCCUUGA